GGCGUGAGGUUGGAGGGGGCGCAGUGGGCGGGGCCCGAGGGCCGGACGCCGAGUCGGAGCGCCUGGGGGGGCCCCAGACAUUUCCAGGAAGCAGCUCGCUCCGCAGCUCCACCUGCUGGUCCCGGCCAGAUCCGCCCGUCCUGAGGACCAGUAGGUCCGAUUCUCUGCACCGCACUUCUUGUGGGAUCCUAGUUCCCUGACCAGGGAUCGAACCCGGGCCCCGGCAGUGAAAGUGCGGAGUCCUAACCACUGGACCGCCAGGGAAUUCCCUCCAGAAGACUUUAUAUAAGGUCUGCUUCACACCUGGGUUGUAACAGCUUCCUUUCCUGGCUUGAUUUGUGAAAGGGGACUUUAGCAAAGAGGAAGCAAGUGAAGGCUUGAAAAAUGCCGGUGCAUUGGAGCUUGCCCACUUGUUAUACUUGUAACACAGAGAACACCUUGUGAAAGAGCUCAAGCCAACCUGCUGGAGGAAGAGAGGCCACAGGGAAAAGAACCAAGGCACCCCAGGUGACAGCCAGUCAACGAUCAACACACAGGAGUGAGGCCAUCCUAGAUCAUUCAGAUGCUAGCCAACCCACCAACUGACCAAAGACAGGUCGCCAGACCAAAAAGUCUCCCAGCUGAGCCACAGAAUCGUUAGCUAAAUAAAAUGGUUGUUUUAUUUUUUAUUAUUAUUUUUCUUCAAUUUUUGGCUGCGCCACGCGGCUUUCAGGAUCUUAGUUCCCUGACCAGGGAUCGAACCCAGGCCCAUGGCAGUGAAAGUGCUGAGUCCU